CGGUGGAUUCCAUAAGCCGUUGAAGUUUGUCGAUUGUGGAGAGAGGCCAGGGGCUUCCGACGGGCUGUUGUUUUAGUUGGGUUUGAAAUAUGUUGGCUUGUGACGAAACCAAGGAUGGCAUCGCAAGAACCAGGAAACAGGACAAUAUGAAAGCAUCAACAUCAAAGUCGUUUUUGUUGCAGAACCUAGGACAAUAUGAAAGCAUCAAAAUGGAUGUCGUUUCUUGAUUUGAACAUGUUUCAUGGAGGUCUUUAUAAAAUGGCGUUAUGAGUAAUACUUUUGAGUACUAUUCUCAUGUGACAAGUUUAUAUGUACCUUUUGGAUUAUGGUGUAACUAUUAGUUUGCUAGAAACAUUUGAUUUAUUUUGAUAUGACAAGCUUAUGUAAUGAACCUUUUAAUUAAGGUGUUUGGAUAUUUUGAGAUUAUGAAAA